GGCCCGCUGGCCAAAUGGUAAGGCGCCAGAUUUCGGCUCUGGAGAUUGUGCGUUCGAGCCGCACGUGGGUCG
rfam:Chaetomium globosum CBS 148.51 scaffold_2 genomic scaffold, whole genome shotgun sequence.